rnacentral:misc_RNA from 1 species
GAUGAAGAACGCAGCGAAAUGCGAUAAGUAAUGUGAAUUGCAGAAUUCAGUGAAUCAUCGAAUCUUUGAACGCACAUUGCGCCCGCUAGUAUUCUGGCGGGCAUGCCUGUCCGAGCGUCAUUUCAACCCUCAAGCCCCCGGGCUUGGUGUUGGGGAUCGGCGAGCCUCCGCGCCCGCCGUCCCCUAAAUCUAGUGGCGGUCUCGCUGUAGCUUCCUCUGCGUAGUAGCACACCUCGCACUGGGAAACAGCGCGGCCACGCCGAUAAACCCCCGACUUCUGAACGUUUGACCUCGGAUCAGGUAGGAAUACCCGCUGAACUUAAGCAUAUCAAUAAGCGGAGGA